GACAGUUGUGCCGCCAGUGCCAUCCUGGACGCCGUCGUGCAUCUACCACGCUCACUGCCGCCGCCGCGCUACACCGCCCUCUCACUCACUCUUCCAACCCUCACAUUUUCGUGUCCCACUAACCAUUUUCUUGCUCGCAAAUAAUUCCCACUACCAUGGUCGUAACUGUAUAUAAAACUUGCAUGACAAACAGAAAGGGAGAACCGUGUGUUUUUUGUGAUUAAGUGAUGAAGUGCCUUUUAACUGUCUGAUUUUAUAUACCUAGCAAAGGCAACAAUACUGUUGCUCUUAUGGGUACAAGAAUCCCACAUGACAUCCCGCGUGUCUGUUGUAUGGUGACGUGUAGGUCAAUGUUGUGGGUGUGAGUAUUGCAGAUGAAUAAGGCUCCUGCCGCGACGCUACUGCCAGGGGGGAGACUAGCGUAACGCUUCACGAAGAGACCUCUUCCAGUGUCUCGACAAGGGUACCAGACAGAGAUCCAAGGUGGCAAGGUGAUAGGCCUGCAACAGCGUCCCGUCCAACACUGUUGCCUUCCUCUACUAUGAGACGGACGGAUCUACAGGUCUGAGGAUGGAAGACGUUUACUCUACAAAAGGCUCUUGAGAAGCUGUACAACGGCAGUGAAUCAAAUGUGUGAGUGUGUCAUCAAACAAACAACCUGCCGAUCACUGAUGGACAUCAAUAAGGUGGCCAGGGACGUCAUGAUGAGUCUUCCGCGUCGAAAGAUGCCGGCGUGGGUGACGGUGGCGCUACUGUGGUGUGUGGCACCACUCACCAUGGCUGCAGUGGCACCUUUGGAUAUAGAAGUGACUAUACCGCCACUACUGGAGACACAGCCAUCCAGGAGCGAGGUGUUGUUCACUGUCAACCAUGACCCGGACCAGCCACCCGAACCCUUCACUCUUCCCUGCCGCGCUGACGCUCUUCCUGCCCCAAGUUAUUCCUGGCUGAAGAACGGCGAAAAUUUCGACCUAGAUGACGACGAAGAAGAUAAAGAACGAGUGACUAUGGUGGAGGGGGAGGGCAGCCUUGUGUUCCACGACCCACGACCCGAGGAUGAAGGAAACUACCAAUGUGUGGCGGAGAACUCUGUGGGUGUGGCUUACAGUGAGGUCACUCCAGUGCGUCGUGCAGUAAUGGGCAAUUUCCCCAAGGCUGAACCCCGGGUAGUGACGGCCACGCUGGGUCAGUCUCUUAGUCUGCCCUGCACGCCGCCUGAGGGGUACCCAGAGCCCUCCCUCCACUGGGUGCUUCAGACGUCAGACGGUGGACUGCGUAGCUUGAACUCCCCUCGCCUGACGGUCGACGAGAAAGGUACUCUCUGGUUCAGCUACGUCGUCCCAGAGGACGCCUCAGAAGAUGCUCUCUAUGCCUGUGCUGCGUCGUCUGUCACCAGCAGUACCCAGAUGUAUCUGGUGAAGGACGAAGAGGGCCGACUGGAGAUGGUGGAGGAGGAGCCGUCCGAAGAGGUCUUCACAACCAUCAAUCUACAGACUGAGUACCGGAUGGGAAACUGGGUGUACCUGAAUGUAAGUUAUCCGGGCGACGACAAAACCACCCUGCCCGAGGACAGCCAACCACCCGUCCAGCAGUACGUCAGCGAGAGCCAAGUUACAGCGCUCGAGGGAGAUGACAUCAAACUAUACUGCAUCUAUGGUGGAUACCCGGUGCCGGAGGUGAGGUGGUGGCGUGAGAGUCGUGGCGACGUGGAGAGCGACAAGUUGGACCACUACGGGAAAGUACUGGUGCUGGAAGACCUUGAGGAGGUGGACAUGGGUUCCUACUACUGUCAAGCCACCAAUGAGGCUGGCGAGAGUGAUACGCAGCACUUUACAGUUUACGUUGAAGCUGCUCCUGAGUUCGUGGUUGAACCCGGGGUGAUCAACUCGCCUCAGGGCGCGACGGCCGUCUUCAACUGCGAGGCCAGUGGCGACCCCAAACCGACCAUCACCUGGACCAAGAACGGCCAAUUACUCGACACCCACGAGACUACGGUGGUGUUCGACACGCUAGAGUCCAGCAUGAAAGCUGCCAUCGCUUGCAACGCUUCCAACGAACAUGGUUACGUGUAUAAGAGUGUCUACCUCAAUGUUUUGUCUCUUCCUCCGGAGUGGUUAACGGAGCCGGCGGACCUGGCAGUGCUGGAAGGCGGGGCCGCCACCCUGGAGUGCGAGGCUUAUGGCUCUCCCGACCCCAACAUGACCUGGGCCAAGAUGGAGGGUGAUGAGAAGGUUAUCAUUGACGAUGGGGACCCUCGCUAUGACGUCGAAGACAACAAGUUGAUAAUAAAAUCUGUAGACGAGGACACCGAGGGUCAGUAUAUCUGCAUUGCUACCAACAAGUUCGCGUCGUUGAAUUCAGUUGCAGAGAUUGUGAUGCGAGAGAAAACGGGGGCUGAGGCCAGCCUAUCGAGUGACAGAGUCGAGGCAAAUGAUCACGUCUCACUCAACUGCCUCGUCAAGAUCGACUCACACCUUAAGCCCGAAGUCACCUGGUUCAAGGACGAUGUCAAAAUAAACCUUAAAGAUGAUAAUUACCGUCUUGGACGGAGCGAAUUCCCUGACAAUAAAAUUGAUGAUGGUGAUGAGGAUGACGACGAAGACGGGAGAGAGGAGGAGACGUGGGUGUUGGAGAUCAUGAAGGUCCAUGGCCACGACUCUGGUGUGUAUACCUGCAGUGUUCACACUGAAGUUGACGACGCCUCAGAUAAUGUCAUUCUUACUGUCGAGGAUGUACCCAACUCGCCUCAUCUGAUGACGGCUCACUGUGAAGACCGGGAAGCUUUCCUCGAGUGGUCGUCAACAGGAGACAAUAACGCACCACUUCAAGGCUUUGUCAUCCAGUACGUCACACCAUUCCACCCUGAUGACUGGAAAGACGCCGAAAAUAAGAUUCCAGCUUCAUCAACAUCCUUCUCAUCUCGCUUCCAGACCAUCGCCCGUGUGGAUAUGAGCCCGGGACUGAACUACACCUUCCGUGUGCUGGCGUUCAACCGUGUAGGUAUGUCUGAUCCAAGUGAGGACACUGCCCAGUGCUUCCCGCCAGGACUCCCGCCUGACCACCACCCCUACAACGUCACUGUCACGGGCACAUCACCCGGCACGCUCGUCAUCUCCUGGCAGACCAUGGCACCUGAAGAACAUAAUGGGCCGGACUUUCACUAUAAAGUCCUCUGGCGAACUGAUGACGCUGAUGACGCCGACGAUGACGAAGAGAACGUCACCACAACUGAUGAAGUCGAAGGCGAGACCAAGACUGAGGACGAAGAAAAUGACGACGAUGGUUGGCACACAAUGAUCUUCGAUGACUGGGAAAAAAACCAGGUGGAGAUGACGGAGCUGCCGCCUUAUCUGGAGUAUGAAGUAGAAGUGGAGGCCCACAACGCCUACGGUGCCGCCCCACCGAGCCUCCUCACCUAUACCGGCCACUCCGGCCAGGACGAACCUGAAGACGAGCCUGACGACCUCAAGGUGCUUGAUGCUGACGCCACCGACGCCGUCCUUACAUGGACACCCGUUGACCAAGACUCUCUUAACGGCCUGCUUCUUGGCUACAAGAUUGAGUAUUGGGAAGACCAUGAUGGUGAUGAUGACGAUGAUGAACUUCACGAAGAAGUGUUGGCGACAGGAUCUGUAGGUCGCGCAGAGUUAAAGGGUCUCACACCCUUCAUGUCGUACCGGGCUAGAGUGAGUGCCGUCAAUUCCGCUUUCACAGGUCCUGCCAGCACCAUCGUUGCCUUCAAGACUGCCGAAGGAGAGUCCGGGCCUGUGUCGAACAUGGAGUCGAAGCAGCUGGGGGAUGACAGUCUACUCUUAAGCUGGGAAGCACCAGAGGAGCCACACGGUGUUGUGAGAGGCUACAAGGUGCAUUACUGUACAAUCAAUGGAGACGGGGAAGAAGGCCCAGUGACUAACUACAGUGAAACUCUGACUCCCAACUUAAACAUUGUUAAACUGACAGACUUGGAGAGUGGCGCCACCUACAGGGUUACUGUCGCUGCUAUCAAUGGGGCCGGGGAUGGCGAAGGGUUGUCGCUGGAUCAUGACAUGGAGGUAUUAGAUCCCCGUGUCCCCGCGGUGCCGGUGUUUACUUGGCUAGUACUCGAGGAGGAAGAUGAGGAGCAGCCCGGCACUGACAGAGACGGUGACGGUGACGUAGACGACAACGACGUUAGAAACAAAAACAUUAUUAUUGGUGACACUGAUGGCGAUGGUGACGUAGACGAAGAUGAUGUCCUAGAUACUGAUAAUGACGGAGAUAUUGAUGAAGAUGACAUAAAUGUUGCGGACAUCAACAAUGACGGUACUGUAGACGUGGAGGAUGUAAAAGCUGCUGACAGGGACAAUGAUGGGUUCGUGGACAUAGGUGACAUCGGCGAUGAGGAUGGAGAUGGUGACUUUGACGGAGCAGAUGUACUCGCCGCGGACGAGGACGGUGACGGUGAUAUCGACUCUUCAGAUGACGACGAAGAGGAUGUGCUUUUGGAGGACAGGGAUCAAGAUGGUGAUAUUGAUAAGGACGAUGUAGUGGACAUCAACCACGAUGGUAUUCUCGACGAGAAAGACUUUAGGGCCGCAGAUGUUGAUAACGAUGGAGAUGUUGAUGAAGACGAUGUGAAAGUCGCAGACAAAGAUGGAGACGGUGAUAUUGAUGGCGCUGACUUGACCGACUUGGACAAAGACGGGAGAGUAGACGGUGAUGACCUUGAGGUGGUGGACAUAGAUGGGGAUGGUGAUGUAGACUCCCGGGACUUCUCCUUAAAGACGGUCUUCCUUACUGAUGUUGAUAAUGAUGGUGAUGUCGAUUCAGACGAUGUUCUUGACAUCGAUAAAGAUGGUGAUGUAGACGAAGAUGAUCAUGCAAUCGCCGAUAUUGAUAAUGAUGGUGAUGUUGAUGCUGAUGACGUUAAAGCCGGUGAUAAAGAUGGUGACGGUGAUAUUGAUGCUGUAGAUAUUGGAGAUGAAGAUAAUGAUGGUGAUAUUGAUGGUCUUGAUGUUCUAAAAGCUGAUAAAGAUGGUGACGGAGACAUUGAUGCAAGUGAUGAUAAUGAAGAAGGUACACUCCUUGAAGACCGAGAUGGUGACGGUGACUUUGAUCGUGAAGAUGUUACCGAUUUAGAUGGUGAUGGUGAUAUUGAUAGUGAGGAUAUAGCCGCCGCAGAUGUAGAUGAUGAUGGUGAUGUUGAUAUGGAUGAUCUCAACAUCGCUGACAAAGAUGGUGAUGGUGAUGUUGACGAAGCUGACAUGGCCGACCUUGAUGGUGACGGCAAACUUGAUGGUGAUGACCUUGAAAUAAAUGAUCGUAAUGCUGAUGGUGUUAUUGAUGCCAAAGACUUCACCUUCAGGAACACUUUACUUGCUGAUACUGAUGGCGAUGGUGAUAUAGAUAGUGACGAUGUCCUCGAUAUUGAUGGUGACGGAGACAUUGAUGAAGAAGACAUUAAAGCCGCGGAUAUUGAUGAUGAUGGUGAUAUUGAUGGUGAUGAUGUAAAGCAGGGAGAUAAAGAUGGUGAUAAUGAUGUUGACUCCGCUGAUGUACAUGACAUUGAUGGUGAUGGUUUUAUCGAUGAAGACGAUCUUGAUGUUGAGGACAGGGAUGGUGAUGGUGAUGUUGAUGCCACUGACUUCGCUCUCCGCAAAGUAUUUCUUGGAGACACUGACGGCGAUGGAGACGUUGACAGAGAAGACGUUCUUGACACUGAUGGUGAUGGUGACAUUGAUGAUAAAGACUUUGAUGUUGCUGACAUCAAUAACGACGGUAAUGUAGAUAUGAAAGAUGUCGCUGCUGCUGACAGAGAUCACGAUGGAGACGUUGAUGAGGCUGACAUAGGAGAUGAAGAUAACGACGGAGACAUAGAUGGAAAUGAUGUGAUCGCUGCAGAUGAGGAUGGUGAUGGUGAUAUUGAUGCUGCAGAUGACGAUGGUGAAAGUAUCUUGCUCUCAGAUACUGAUGGUGAUGGUGACGUUGACCUGAACGAUGUAAUAGACCUCGAUGGUGACGGAGACAUCGACGAAGAUGAUAAUAAGGCCGCAGACAUUGACAAUGAUGGUGACGUUGAUGUUGACGACGUUAAAGCUGCAGAUAGAGACAAGGAUGGGGAUGUAGAUGCUGCAGACAUUGUUGACAUUAAUGAUGAUGGUCAUAUUGACGGUAGAGAUCUUGUGGGGUUAGAUAGAGAUAAUGACGGCGAUAUUGACUCGACGGACAUUGAGAAUUUGGACGUGUUCCUCAAAGACACUGAUGGUGAUGGUGAUGUAGACGAAGACGAUGUCCUUGACGUUGACCAUGACGGGGAUAUUGACGAAGAUGACAUUGCUGUGGCCGAUAUUAAUAACGAUGGUAACAUUGACUCAGACGAUGUUGUAGCUGGUGACCGAGACGGCGACAAUGAUGUUGAUUUUAAAGACAUCGGGGACGAAGAUGGAGAUGGUGACAUUGAUGGAAGUGAUGUCGUGAUUGCUGAUCGGGAUGGUGACGGCGACAUUGACGCUGCCGAUGAAGGUCGAGGAGUGGAAGUACGCGUCAACUGGACACCAGACUUGGAGGCUCACCCAGGGGUUGACUUCUAUGUUCAGAACAGGGUGAAGGGAACACAACACUGGAAGUCAUCCCCUGUGGAGCGUCAACACCUCUACCAGACCAUAUCAGGUCUUGAUCCUCGUCGAUCCUACGAGGUCAGGAUAGUGGCCAAGGACGGGCCCUACGAGACGCCCUCCGAUAUUAAGUACCUCGCAGCCACAGAAGCUAUGCCAACACCAGGAACAGUAGCUACUCCGACGUCUGGAAAAAUAGAGUGCCUAUAUCCUGGAGUAAACAAUUCUCCAACAUCUGAGGAGCUCUCCCAUCUUGAAUUUGUAAAGCCAAAAGUGAGCGAGAGUAUGGACAUGGAGCCUAACCCCAUCUUGUGGACGUGGUUCAUCAUCGCCGUCAUGGUCGCUGUUACUAUGAUCUGCAUAGUCUUCUUCUCCAUGUGGGUCUACAGCCAGCGCAUUGCGCGGGUAAGGGAGCUACGGGCAGCGCUAUAUGAAGGCUAUGAACCAUCAGAGCCAGAGCCUAUCAAAAAAGAAGCUGAUGUAGAGGCCGCCAAGCCAGCACCCGAAGAAGCCGUCGAGGAGGAGAUGACUGCCAAUUACCAGCGGAAAGAGAACAGGAAGUCUUGGUAUCACGUACAACUGGCAGCUAUGAUGAAGCGGCAGGAGACUGUACAGAGUGUUGACUCUUUCGCAUCCCACGAUGAUGACUUCGCAGAAUAUGGCGAUGAGAGCAUGGUUGGCCAGACGGAGACCUUAGUUUAACCGCUAUCGACCUGCUCAGUUCGGUAUCGCUGGUAACGAACCCGAGACAUCAAAGGCCUCCUCCAGCGCCGCGCACCUGAACUCUCUCGCCAGGUCGCUUCACUGAUGACG
rnacentral:misc_RNA from 1 species